rnacentral:lncRNA from 1 species
GCUGGCAACACAUGGGAAGAGGAAAGAGUGAAUAAAGCAAAAGAAAACGGUUCAAUAUUGGAGAGGGUGGGAGCUACAGGGGACGCACUCAAUCUCUCUCCAAUCACACCACAAAAAGUGGUACUCUCUCUGAAUGAAAAAGAAAAGAAAAAAAGGUUAUGACAAAAGAUAAAAAAAAGGAGAACACCACAAUUCGCUAUCGGUCACCGUUAAACCUCCACCCCUUUUCCACUUCAUCACCCUCCGCCGCUCGCCAGUAAAUCAAAUGCCGGAAAUCUCCGCACAACCCCCUCACCUUUGAUCGCGUCUACCAGCGUCCACCGGCGAACCCUCGCUUUCCUUUCGCCGGAACCAAAACCUUUCCGCACCCUUAAC